rnacentral:rRNA from 1 species
UACGAAGGGGGCUAGCGUUGCUCGGAAUGACUGGGCGUAAAGGGCGCGUAGGCGGCUUGUAUAGUCGGAUGUGAAAUCCCUCGGCUUAACCGGGGAACUGCGCCCGAUACUGGAGGGCUUGAGUGUGGGAGAGGGAUGCGGAAUUCCAGGUGUAGCGGUGAAAUGCGUAGAUAUCUGGAGGAACACCGGUGGCGAAGGCGGCAUCCUGGACCAUGACUGACGCUGAGGAGCGAAAGCCAGGGGAGCAAACGGG